rnacentral:rRNA from 1 species
AAUACCUCCUUAAAUUUUAAACCCUCUACCCCUAUCGAGUAAUUCUAUACNUUUAUAGAAAUUUUUAUGUUAAAACUAGUAACAAGAAGAUAAACCUUCUCUCAAGUGCAAGCAUAAUUCAGACAGGAUAAACCACUGAUAAUUAACGCCCCUGAGCAUGUAUAAGUAACCUAACAAGAAAAACCUCAUAUUUUANUGCGUUAAUCUAACACAAGAGCACUCCAAGAAAGAUUAAAAGAAAAAGAAGGAACUCGGCAAAUAUUAACCCCGCCUGUUUAUCAAAAACAUCGCCUCUUGCCUAAANAUAAGAGGUCCAGCCUGCCCAGUGACACAUGUUCAACGGCCGCGGUAUCCUAACCGUGCGAAGGUAGCGUAAUCACUUGUUCUUUAAAUGAGGACUAGUAUGAAUGGCAUCACGAGGGUUAUACUGUCUCCUUUUUCUAAUCAGUGAAACUAAUCUCCCCGUGAAGAAGCGGGGUUGAAAUUAUAAGACGAGAAGACCCUAUGGAGCUUUAAAUUUCCACUCAAAUGNCUUAUCAACCUUUAUACUUCUUAGUAUUAUUAAAAAGUACCUUAGCAUUAUGAGCCAAAAUUUUAGGUUGGGGUGACCGCGGAGUACAAAAUAACCUCCACAUUGAAACAGGCUUACAAACCCUGAGCAACGGACAACAAUCCUAUGCACUAAAAAACUAACAUCCAUUGACCCAAGNNNUUUUUGAUCAACGAACCAAGUUACCCUAGGGAUAACAGCGCAANUCCUCUUCAAGAGUUCCUAUCGCCAAGAGGGUUUACGACCUCGAUGUUGGAUCAGGGUAUCCCAGUGGUGCAGCCGCUACUAAUGGUUCGUUUGUUCAACGAUUAAAACCCUACGUGAUCUGAGUUCAGACCGGAGUAAUCCAGGUCGGUUUCUAUCUAUAACANGCACUUAUUCCAGUACGAAAGGACCGAAAAAGUAUGGCCCAUGCUUAAUGUAAGCCAUUAUUAGUAAAUUAUGAUAACAACUUAAUAGUCUAUUAAUCUACCACGUACCNNUCAAAACAAGAGAA